rnacentral:rRNA from 1 species
CCUACGGGUGGCAGCAGUGAGGAAUAUUGGUCAAUGGACGCAAGUCUGAACCAGCGACGCCGCGUGCAGGAAGACGGCUCUAUGAGUUGUAAACUGCUUUUGUACGAGGGUAAACGCAGAUACGCGUAUCUGUCUGAAAGUAUCGUACGAAUAAGGAUCGGGUAACCUCGGUCCAGCAGCCGCGGUAAUACGGAGUAUUGAAGCGUUAUCAGGAUUUAUUGGGUUUAAAGGGUGAGUAGGCGGUCGGAUAAGUUAGAGGUGAAAUCCCGAGGCUCAACUUCGGAAUUGCCUCUGAUACUGUUCGGCUAGAGAGUAGUUGCGGUAGGCGGAAUGUAUGGUGUAGCGGUGAAAUGCUUAGAGAUCAUACAGAACACCGAUUGCGAAGGCAGCUUACCAAGCUACUUCUGACGUUGAGGCACGAAAGCGUGGGGAGCAAACAGGAUUAGAUACCCGGGUAGUC